UACGGGAGGCAGCAGUGGGGAAUAUUGCACAAUGGGCGGAAGCCUGAUGCAGCAACGCCGCGUGCGGGAUGACGGCCUUCGGGUUGUAAACCGCUUUCGCCUGUGACGAAGCGUGAGUGACGGUAAUGGGUAAAGAAGCACCGGCUAACUACGUGCCAGCAGCCGCGGUAAU
rnacentral:rRNA from 2 species